ACGGAGGGAGCAAGCGUUACUCGGAAUUACUGGGCGUAAAGGGCGCGUAGGCGUCCAUACAAGUCUUGUGUGAAAGCCCCGUGCUUAACACGGGAAGUGCACAAGAUACUGAAUGGAUUGAGUUCCGGAGAGGAAGAUGGAAUUCCCGGUGUAGCGGUGAAAUGCGUAGAUAUCGGGAGGAACAUCCGUGGCGAAGGCGGCCACCUGGACCAGCACUGACACUGAGGCACGAAAGCGUGGGGAGCAAACAGGA
rnacentral:rRNA from 1 species